AAAAUACUUGCCUCAGUCUCUGGUUGUAAAGCCUGGCUGAGCUGAUACCGGGAACAGCAUCAGCUAGUGACCGGCACAGAGUACGAACUUAAUUCUCGGCACUGAUGAAGGUGAAAAUGAAAAGGAGGUAAAGGAUGAUUUUGAAGAAUCAGUAUUCAAAGCUUCUCAUCUUUACAUAGAACAUUUAAGGAAUUUCAGGACACUGAGAAGUCCAAGACCGAGGUGCCGGCAACUUUGCUCCUAGUGAAGACCCUGUUCCUGGUCCGCACAUGGUCAUCUUCUCCUUGUAGCUUCACAUGGCGAGGAGAGAGAGAGAGGAAGCAAGCCCUCUCUUGUCUCGUCUUAUAAAGAUGCUCAUCUUAUCGUGAGGGCCCCACCCUAACAACCUAAUCACUUCUCAAAGUCUCCAUCUCUAAAUACCAUCACAUUGGUGAUUAAGGGUUCCACAUAUGAAUUUGCAGGGUACAUAAACCCAAUAGCAUAGGUCAAAAUAAACUUGGCAACUGAAGUCAAGUCAUUGAAAAGUCUUUAUAGUUAUUUUCUCAGUCACCAGGUCACUUUUAACAGCUCCCUCCCCAUGCCAAAAUAGGAUAGUGUAUUGACCAUUUAACCUUUUGAUGCCUGAAGAAAUGUUUUAUGCCUUUACCUCCUGACUCCAUUCUUCCUUUCAUACCAUGUCCAUUGCUUCCUUUCACCCACAUGCCACCCCGCUAUCAAGACCCUUGAUUCUGAAACCUCAAAUGGCAUUUAAGUUUCACUCCAAAAUGAAAUUUUUCCAAUAAACUUCUUUGUAUUCUGUCAUUUGAGGUCCUGCCCUUCCUUGCUUAUUGUGGAACCCGAUCCAAGAUCCCAGAAUUUCACCCUAAGCCAGACACUGUUGUCCUCAAAGGGAUUCAGAUGUUUGUGUAUGUGUAUAGCAUUCAUUCAAAGAAUAGUUUAUAAUAAUUAUAAGUAAAAUAUUGCAAUAAAAUUAUAACAAGAAUAAUUACAUAUUUCCUUUGUGUUUAAUAUGUGUACAUGAACCUUGUGGCCAUUCUUUUAAAAAUAGUUCAUGGGGCGCCUGGGUGGCUCAGUCAGUUGAGCACCUGACUUC